AGAGUUUGAUCAUGGCUCAGGAUGAACGCUAGCGGCAGGCCUAAUACAUGCAAGCUGAACGGCAAGAUUUUUAGCAAUAGAGAUCCUAGAGUAGCGUAAGGGUGCGUAACACGUAUGCAAUCUACCCACAACAGGAGGAUAGCUCCCCGAAAGGGGAAUUAAGACUCCAUAAUAUCGUUGAUUGGCAUCAAUUGAUGAUUAAAGUACAAGCGGUUGUGGAUGAGCAUGCGUCUGAUUAGUUAGUUGGCGGGGUAACGGCCCACCAAGACGAUGAUCAGUAGGGGAACUGAGAGGUUGGUCCCCCACACUGGCACUGAGAUACGGGCCAGACUCCUACGGGAGGCAGCAGUAGGGAAUAUUGGACAAUGGGUGCAAGCCUGAUCCAGCCAUGCCGCGUGCAGGAAGAAAGCCUUCUGGGUUGUAAACUGCUUUUUUCGGGGGAUAAAAUACUCGUGCGCGAGGAAUGAAAGUACCCGAGAAUAGC
rnacentral:rRNA from 1 species